ensembl:lncRNA
AGAGGGGGCGCUGUUGAGGCACUCAUUAGCGGUAAAUAGCCACAGGUGUGGCUGUAGAGGGGUCUUAGGUCGUGAGAUUGAGUUAAGAGUCUCUGGAGACGACUCUCUGCAGGUGAGACACUGAGUUUAUGGGAUUAACACAGGCGACGCACGGUUUCUGUCAAGACACUUCUACGAGAGAAUGGUUGUAAAUAAACGGUGGAGCUGAACGACUGGGAUCAAGGCACGGGCUGGUCACCUGGACCGACGGUUCACCCCCCGGCCGGAGACGAAGUGCUGGUGCGGCGUGUCACUGAGAGAGCUGUUCGCUUACUGGUGGCUCGGGACCUGCGCGGGCGCUUGAGGUGUUUCCAGGCAGGGCUAGAGUGCAGCCGUGGACCCUCUGUGGUGUUGGUGACCCCCUGAGGAGCUCUCCUCUCCGCCGCUGAUCGGCUGGCGUUCCCCCCUGAUACGGCACGCCGGAACGCUCUCGACCGGGGAGCGGCAGAAGGCCAGCGCCAGCAGAUCCUCUUCCCAGCCUGUGUUUCCCCGAGCACUCUCUCUGACAACGUAGUCGCGGCUUGCUGCGUCCUUCUUAACAACCGCGGCAGUGGUGUUGGUAGACCAGGAGAGGACCCCAGAGAUGGGGUUCCCUGGAGUAUGAAGGCGGAGGAGCAUUUCUACACCGUCCGUGUUCGCUUGGAGGGGGGCUAGGGGGGAGAGUCAUUAAUAAGAAAUCAAGACCAGAAAAUUAGUAUAAUAGGUCCUCUUUAAACAAGUGAGGAUGUCCCAGUGAGUUAAUCAUUUAAGGAAUAUAAUAAAUGUAUUGCUUAUCUAUCAUAACUGUAACAAAAAAACACAUCCUAGAGAGGAUGCGCGUCCAUAAACGGACCAACCUCACGCACAUGUUGGCGGGUGUUAGGGUUAGCUUUUAAUAAGUUAAAGGAUUAGAAGGUCGGUCACUCACUGAACCGCGGUGUGUGAAGGACAGCACCGGGGCCCCAGAGUGAGUGAAGCACCUCAGGUGUAAGACGACGGGUUCAGCAGGCUUGCCUUCGGGCUGCGAUCACCGGCCACCCCGGCCCGUAUCUAACGCCGCUCCAUGACUAGUGAGGCUGGGGGGGGGCGAGCAUUUGGAAGGAGAUAACGGCGACACGAUAGUGUGAAAAACUGAACAAAUAGGACACAGAUGCCACAUGGAAGUUGCCACCAGCGAUGCGGCGAAAAGACCAAAUGAAAGGAAAUUAAGGCAGUGAUCAUGCAGAGAAGAAGAGGAGGUUGUGCUGUCGGCGAUGGGCAUGUGUGUGGUGCAGGAAUAUUGUGUGUUUGACUGGCUUGUCGUUGAAUGUUGCGUCAGUGGUGGUGGCGACACACCAUCAUUUGGUCUGUGCAACCCGCCCACGGUCGCCUGGUGGAUGUCAGGUUGGUCCCGCUGGGUCCAGGUCUGUGGUGGUGGAAACCACAACAAAUUGUUUCUGUUCCCCCAAAACACUGAAAUUGGUCAUUGUCCAAUAGCGUUUUUCACAGUUACCUACUCUGCAGCAGAGUGUUCUGAGGCAAACUGGCUUUCGUGCCCAGGUGGGCGGUGCAAACUGGUAGUGGAUGAGGUGUGAUCUCUCUCUCUCUCGCUCUCGCUCUCGCUCUCGCUCUCACAGACUAAGAAAGCACUUAAGGUACCUUGAAAAGCACUUAAUUCAAUAAAUGUUUAUGGUUAUUAUUUAAAGAAAUACAUGUACAUAUACCAUGAUUCUAAAUUGCCUUCCCCCCAGUGUGGUGUCACAAACAAUUGCAUGUACCUUUUACUUGUGUGAUGGUGUCCUUAAAAAUGCAGACGGUUUAUGUCAGUUUAGAUGUAAUACUUGAAUGCAUUGGAUAUGUCAAUCAAAGCAGUAAAAAUCUCAGUAUUUUUAGAUUGCGUGUGAGUGUGUGUGUUUGUGGGCGUUCGCUCAUACGUGCAUGUGUGAGUGUGCGUGUGUGUCCUGUUUCUAAUAAGGCUAUAUAUAUAUAGAUUUGGCUAGUUCCCUUUUCAUAACAAUGUAUUACCUUUCAUUAAGAGCUGUCAGAAGAAACGUCAGGAGUGAGGCGGGUCCCAGGAGAGACACACACACAAAUACAAACAGAGACGCACGCACUCACGCACACACACACAGACACAGACACCUGUCUCCAGGUGACAACUUUACCCACCCCAACACAAAAAUAAUCAAGGGAAAAUAAAAGAUGAUGAAAAAAUUCUAAAGUGACAGAGCUAUCAUUCUU